AGGGGCAGUGCUGAAGUAAGUAGCUGGACUGCGUGGCUCGAUAGGGUUUACAUGCACUAAGUAGCUCGGCAAAAAUCGCAUAAUCUAGGUCGUGUAGCUCGAUUGCGAGAAAUCAAGUUCGAUUCAAUUUCAGCCUAGCUAAGGUGUUUACAUGCCAUUUAGAGCUUCGAUUUCAGACGAGCUACGGCAGAAAUUCGAUUUUCUCUAUGUGCAUGUAAACGCACUAACUGUGUCAUCUACGAGUUAGAUCUUCCAUUUGGGGUCCUUCUUGCAUUUUAACAGUGGGUAAACUAAACAAACAAUCUGACUCCAGCCUUAGCAGAAUUGUUCGAGCAGCCGAUAACUGCGCAAAUUUGCGGCAUUUCGUAUUAAGGUACUUGUUGCUGUACAUGCGUUAUUCCACAAAGAAGGCGGACGCAGCUAAAUCAGAGAGGGUCAUGGGACUUCAUGUGCAAACGGUCUAUCGUGAAACGCGGGGCGCUUUUCACCUUGGCAAAACAAUUACACAUACGGUAGGAUACACGGUGUGCGCAGCAGCGAAACUCCUCGUUUUAAACUCAAAUCGACGCAAAACAUCUCGAAGCGUCAACAGCAAUAAAAUAGAACAUUUUUGCCCAGAAUUCAACUUUGCAGUGAAAACCUUUAAACAAAUGCUGAUCAAAUCAAUUACUGGCUUUAAUGGUAAUGUUACUGAUUAUUAUGGAGUAAACCGGCACUCACUCGCUUUGAAAAUAUGAUGAAAACAGUUGCUACUAACCUUCCUGUAACACACUCUGCUAAUCCACACCAUGUUGAGGUUUCUACAGCAGCUACUCUAUUAUCCGUUUUAGCACAUUAACCACACAUCCAACAGAUACAACAAUCCUAAACAAUAACACACAUCUGCUUAACUAACUCAUUAAACCUCAACCUGCUGCCAUGUGUACACUACAGGAACAGCCUUUACAAACCGGAAGUAGAAAAUAUUCUGCCUUAUUGUGAUUGGCUCUAGGGCUCGUCUUAUUGGCUGAAAUUUGAGUCAGUUACAUCUCGCUCAGCCUUUGUGACAUGUUGCCAAGUCCUUUGUUUUCACGCAUUUUGAUGGGAUUUAGUUCUCUGGGUUUUUGGCAUGGAUAUGGCACACGACAUUUGCUUGUUUAUUGAAUGUAAUGUCUAAUAUCCUAGAUUAUACCAAUAUUAAAACACAAUAAGUCAAAAGCAGUUUAUUACAUAGGUCUAUUACUUUCCCAAAUUUAGCAUCAGGUCAUGUUAAAGAUCUUAGGCAAAGGUUUUCAAUUUAUGCACAUUUGAAAUUGUAUAUCUUAAAGGUCCCAUGGCAUGAAAUUUUCACUUUCUGAGGUUUUUUAACGUUAAAAUUAGUUCCUCUGACCUUCUUAAGUCACCCCAGUGGCUAGAAAUUUCAUAAUGUGUAAACCAAACUAUGCCCAACAUUGAGAAUGGCGCGUCAAAACGGCGCGUUGAUAAGCUCUUCCCUUUCCUACGUCAGCAAGGGAGAUGAUCCCCACGCCCCCCCUCUGGAUUCCCACCCACUGUAUGGAUUGCCCGCCCAGUUGUAGUGAGGAGACCAUAGAGGACACAACAACAUGGCAUCACCUAAGCGAGCGAAACAUGAAAAUUGCGCUGUACAUGGAUGUGACAACACAGAAAAGAGUCUGUUUUUACUGCCGACGGGAGAGCCCCUGAAGACGCAGUGGCUUAAUUUUAUUUACUUCAAUAAUACACCGUCGAGUCUACCUAAGACAGUGUAUGUUUGUCGGAAGCAUUUUCCUGAGGAAUGUUUCCACAACUUGGGACAGUACAGGGCAGGUUUUGCACAUCAACUGUCACUGAAGCCUGGGUCCGUACCAAGCAUCCCUGCCGCAUCAGCAACAAACACCGAACAAGUACAUUGUGGUGUUAGGAGCAGCGAGCUAAUCAAGAUACAGGACCUCCUAUCAAUGAUUCUACGUCAUGCUGACCUUUGACACCGCCAACAAAAUGGCAAUAUGGCUACACCCUGAAGUGGAACUUAAGCAAGUACCCUUUAACUCGAACCGCUCAGUCAGAGGCACAAGCAAGUUACACAGAGGGGGAAUGAACUGGAUGCACUUUUCAAUUAACUGCGUCAAUCUUUCAGAUUAACUGCGUCACAGAUUAACUGUGUCAAAAUUGUUACUUUUUAAACUAAAGCGAUGAAACCUUCCACGCUGGACCAAAUACCCGAAUUAAGCCUCAGGUGUGUGUUUGCACUCGCUCACGCUACAGCCUUCCAUUGCUUUGAGUGCCAAGUUUCUGGCUGGAGUCGGGAGUGUGCCUCCGGGACGCAGCGUCGCACAUGCUAAUCCAGGCACGCGCGGAAGAUGCGUGCGUUUGAUGGUGUGGCGGCGCUCUGGGACCACUGAUCUCUACAUAAAAUAUCUGGAUAGCUCAUUGGCCAGUUAGAGUGAAGCCAUCUGGCCGCCCUAUUACCACACACAUUGGAUCGGUAUGGUCAUAUCUCUGCCUAGGAAGCUACACAAAACUGGACAUGGUAUUCAUCUAAUUGUUGAGGGGGAAAAAAGCAAACUGGACAUAUUAUUUGUACAUGUGUAUGUCAGUGGGUGAAUGAUUGAUUUUUGUGGGGGUGUUUGUGUUUUAAUCAUAAUGUACAGUAUUCAAUAUAUUUUAUCAUCAUGGAUACAUUCAGGAAGAUUACUGUAGACUAUUAUUAUUAUUAUUAUUAUUAUUAUUAUUAUUAACUAAAAAAUACAUAGACAACAUAUGCGUAACAGAGAAGAAAACAAAGUGUACAUUACAACAUGACAAAACAAUUCUGGUUUAUAUAGAGACAGUAUGUCAGUCAGAGUCCACAAAAGUAACGUCAUUUCCUGUUGCCAGAGGCAUGUGAACCCUCAUAUACUAUUCCAGAUCAGCAAUAAAAAAUAAUAAAAACAAA